AGAGUUUGAUCAUGGCUCAGGACGAACGCUGGCGGCGUGCCUAAUACAUGCAAGUCGAGCGGUUGAAGCCUUCGGGUUGAGAUAGCGGCGGACGGGUGAGUAACACGUAGGUAACCUGCCUAACAGACUGGGAUAACUACCGGAAACGGUAGCUAAGACCGGAUACGACCAUUUGAGGGCAUCCUCAGAUGGUGAAAAGCGGAGCAAUCUGCUACUGAAUGAUGGACCUGCGGCGCAUUAGCUAGUUGGUGAGGUAGUGGCUCACCAAGGCGACGAUGCGUAGCCGACCUGAGAGGGUGAACGGCCACACUGGGACUGAGACACGGCCCAGACUCCUACGGGAGGCAGCAGUAGGGAAUCUUCGGCAAUGGACGAAAGUCUGACCGAGCAACGCCGCGUGAGUGAUGAAGGUUUUCGGAUCGUAAAACUCUGUUGCCAGGGAAGAAUGGCCAGGCGAGUAACUGCGCUUGGUAUGACGGUACCUGAGAAGAAAGCCCCGGCUAACUACGUGCCAGCAGCCGCGGUAAUACGUAGGGGGCAAGCGUUGUCCGGAAUUAUUGGGCGUAAAGCGCGCGCAGGCGGUCAUUUAAGUCUGGUGUAUAAACCAAGGGCUCAACCUUUGGACGCAUUGGAAACUGGGUGACUGGAGUGUAGGAGAGGAAAGUGGAAUUCCACGUGUAGCGGUGAAAUGCGUAGAGAUGUGGAGGAACACCAGUGGCGAAGGCGACUUUCUGGCCUAUAACUGACGCUGAGGCGCGAAAGCGUGGGGAGCAAACAGGAUUAGAUACCCUAGUAGUCC
rnacentral:rRNA from 1 species